GCCAAACUGACUUAAGGGAGAUAGUGAGCGCAAAGACAGGAGAAGAGACACACGGAAAGCGAAGAGCAGGAAACCGAACGUGUGCAGACGAGCGCAUGUAUAGAAGGACCGGCCUGCCUGUGCAGCGUCACGAGACUUCCGGCGAUUCAGUUCUGACGGACAGAAUAGCAACAGUGGGAGGCGACGCGUGAAAUCCACAGUAGGGCAGAGGGGACGCCUCUGCCUGCAUCCGGCCGGGCUACGAGGGAAGCCGUGUGCGGGUGCGGAGAGUGGCUGGACUGCACGGUCACGCGCCGCCAGGUGGGGAUAGGAGCCUCCUCCCUGGCCUUCUGCUGGCGAGAUUUUCCCAUCCCGGAAGAGGAGCUCCCCUUCUGUCUCUUUCAGCUAAGGAACAUUUGCCCGAGUGUGUGUGGUUGGACACUGGGAAUAGAGGACUCUGGGGGGGACGUUUUAUCGUAUAAAAAGGACAUUUAUUUAGUUUUGAUUUUUUUAAUUGUAUUUUAAUCUCUGCCGGCAGGGCUUUUAAGCGGGUUGGGAACAUUUAUUUUUUAUUGUAUAGUGGGGAUUUUAACUUCUACUUGUGAUUCUGGCUGUUUUUCUAAAAAAUAAAUGGUGUGUUUAAAGCCGGCCCAGUGUCCGUACUCCGAGCGCUGAUUCACUCUCUCCCCUUAUGCUUGUAUGUAUAUAGACGUGGUGGCGAAGAUUUAGGUCACCAGUUUAGCGGCUACA